rnacentral:lncRNA from 1 species
AGUUGGCGCGCCAAGUCUUGUUCAAAUGAGCUUAGAGGCCUUAUAUUUAUAGCCAAAGGGAAUGAUAUUUGCACACUUCAAAAUCUGUCCAAAAUUGGCAAUGUGGAUGGCACGAGUGCAUGGGCAUGUACAGGCCCAUAAUGCAAUGCAUUAAGGUCCAAAAUGCUUCCAAUCGAGGUCUGAAUGAAGCUUGAAUGGCAAGGCAAUGUGAACUGAAGUUUGUGCAAUUGACUCUUUCCAAUGAUGCAGCCCUGUUAAAG